GCAGUAGUAGUUCAGUUGGUAGAAUGUCUCCUUCCCAAGGAGAAGGUCGCCGGUUCGAGUCCGGUCUACUGCUCCA
rnacentral:tRNA from 1 species